GAAGUCCCCGACGUUGUAAGAGUUAGCGACUCACAAUGUCCCCGAGUCAUGCGUAGUCAACCGCGAGGCGGGCUGCGAAGCGUUGACAGGGGCGCUGAUAGGCCAGCCAUUGAGCCACGAAAUGGAUAUGUCAUUCCCGAGCGCCGACGCGCUACUGUAUUCGGAAGGCAACACCCCCCGGCGCGCUAUCGCGAGUGUCGGGUGGGCUCGGCGUGGUCUGAGACCC
rnacentral:ncRNA from 1 species